rnacentral:rRNA from 1 species
UACGUAGGGUGCGAGCGUUGUCCGGAAUUAUUGGGCGUAAAGAGCUCGUAGGCGGUCUGUCGCGUCGGUCGUGAAAACUUGGGGCUUAACCCUGGGCUUGCGGUCGAUACGGGCAUGACUGGAGUUCGGUAGGGGAGACUGGAAUUCCUGGUGUAGCGGUGAAAUGCGCAGAUAUCAGGAGGAACACCAAUGGCGAAGGCAGCUCGCUGGGACGUGACUGACGCUGAGACGCGAAAGCGUGGGGAGCAAACAGG